rnacentral:tRNA from 1 species
AGACGUGUAGCGUAAUGGUAGCGCAUCAGACUUUGAUUCUGAAUGUGGCGGUUCGAAUCCACCCGCGUCCA